AUGCCGGUGGUGUAAUGGCAACAUGAUGGACUCCAACUCCAUCGCUCUGGGUUCGAUUCCUAGUCGGCAUG
rnacentral:tRNA from 1 species